AACUGAUACUACCUGCGGGAACCUGCGGAGGGAUCAUUACCGAGUUAUCCAACUCCCAACCCCUGUGAAUCAUACCUUUAAUUGUUGCUUCGGCGGGACUUCGCGCCCGCCGGGGACCCAAACCUUCUGAAUUUUUUAAUAAGUAUCUUCUGAGUGGUUAAAAAAAUGAAUCAAAACUUUCAACAAUGGAUCUCU
rnacentral:misc_RNA from 1 species